CUUUUGCCUUAGACUUCACAAAGGCAGCUUACUCCAGGGAAGCUGAGGACGCACAUCUUCUUGCUUUUUUUUAUAUAAAAGAUUAAUUAAUUAGGCUGCGCCAGGUCUUAGCUGUGCUAUGUGGGAUCUCUUACUUGCAGCAUGCGAAUCUUUUAGUUGUGGCAUACGAACUCUUAGAGGUGGCAUGUGGAAUCUAGCUCCCCGAAAAGGGACCGAACUUGGGCCCCCUUGCGCUGGGAGCAGGGAGUCUUAGCCCCUGGCCCACCAGGGAAGUCCCUCCCUUGCUUCCUGAAAGCUGGGCCUGGGUCCAAUCCCUCUCUGGUUCCCUCGUCACAUUUAAUGCACAGCCCCUUACCCACAGCAGGUGAGGGGCCCGAGGCUACGGUGCUGAUUGAUCAUGGGGAAAGGGACCGGGUGCCCCAGCCUCUCUUUUCUUUGUCCUCCAUGUACCUUCCCUCUUUGAACCUUAGCAGCUGCAAGGCUGCUGCGCUGCCUGGCCCCAUGAAGCCCUCACACCUGAUGAAGGAAGCCUGACUCUCCCAGACCACAGCCCGACGCCCAGCCAUGCUGACGUCCAGACUCUACACAAGGGCCUCAGAGAGGGGACAAGAUGUGAUGCCACGACCCCCAGCAACCCCCCUCCUCCCAACACCACCGUCCCUAUCUUGGGCCUGGGGGAAGGAGAAAAUGAAGCGGGAUAUGGAAGAGCCUAGAGCUGUGCCUGGCACAGAGACAGGGUCCAUUAUCUGUGUGAGCCUCCGUGGGACUGGAACUCUCCAGACACCACUUCUGUGGCAGGAGACGCAGAAUGGCCGGCACGGGGUAAGGAAGGCAGCCUUGACUGUGUUCUGCCCCACGGUGCUGUUUUCCUUCUGCAGGCGGCUGUGGCUGUUUUGGGGGGUGGGGUGGCUAGGCUUAGCUCUUAGCCAGAGAUGUCUUAGCAUUUGAUGUGAUACUGCUGUUGUUUUUGGCUCUACAUCCAAGACUCCUGCGUGGCUAAUUACUCAUUGUCUUGGAAGCCUGGCGCAGGAGCCUGAGGAAGGAGGGUGGAAAGGGCUGGUUGCUGUUUUUCUCCUGGUUAAAGAAGCAGUGGCACUGGAGUGAUGAGUUAAGCCUUUUGCAUGAUCUCAGCUGAACUGAGAAAUAAUCUAUAUACAAUAAAAUGCACAUGAUUUAGGACA
rnacentral:lncRNA from 1 species